rnacentral:lncRNA from 1 species
UUCACCUCUAGCCGAACGUCCCUCACCAGUCCACCCUUUCCACCAUCGUUAACCACCAAACGAUCCCUCCGCCUCGCUGACCGCCCAACAACUAGCUUCCUACGUCAAACCACCACUCGAAGUAGACGAGACCCAGUCUAGUCCGUCGACCAGUCCACUGUCACGCCAUUGACGUCCUAAACGACGUCCUUCGUCGUCGACCUCCCAUCGUCUUCGACCAAAUAGCCCACUGUUACGCCAAAACCAAACAACCGUUCUUUAAAUCUCGG